UUUACUUGGGUAACUGUGGCUCAAGCAAGUGCCUUAUUUGUCUGAAAGAUAAAGAAACGAGUCCAGGAAGUUUCUCCAGUGGGUCUGUGUGUCUCCAAUGCCCGGUGCUCCAGUGCAUCGGCUGAUGUCAUCAGGCAUAAGGUCAAUAUGUUCGUCCGGUCCUUUACCCGUCAGAUAGCUCUCGGGUGUUGACUCGGAGCCAGGCGUAGGUCUAGGCACUGUGACUACAGCACUGAAUAGUGACUCAAGGCCCCUGUUAGUACGGGACUUCCGUUCUAAUGGGCGGGAUGGAGGCAGACAAACAGACGCAUGUGCUGAUGGAGCCAUGCAGAAAGAAACUGUCAUGAGAGGCCCCAAGAAGCAGAGGGCAGGUGUCCACAGAGGGGGUGUCCAGGUAAGGCCUCCCUGAGCCGUGACGCUGAAGGAAAGAGCGGAACGCAGGAAGGAGCAUUCUCCUCAUCCCACUGAGAAGGACCAGACUGGAGGCUGUUCAGAGGGAGCCAGGAUAGGGGCAGGGAUUGUGUCAAAGGAAGAGAGUGUCAGCAAAGGAUGUUGGGUGGUGGUGGGGGGGUGAGGGGCAGGUGAGGCAGGCCCCUGCACAGCAUGGUAAUGAGUCUGGGUUUUUAUCUAGGCAUGGUGAGAGACCACUGGAGAGUUUUAAGCAAGGCGACGACACAAUCUGGUUUAUUCUGUGACACCUAAGUUAAUAGCAUUUGAAGUUCUGAAGUGUAUGAGCCCUUUGCUUUUUAAAUAAUACAAAUACAUUAAGAUGAGUUAAAAGUUUUCUUAGAACAGGGCACCUCUCACAUGUGUUCCGCGGUGCCUUCUUGAGGGAUGGAGGAAAGAGUUUGGAGCCAGGGUUAGUGGGCUUGGAAUUGUGCAUAGUCUCCUGCCUGUAGUAUCUGGGUCACAGCUUAUAGUCAAAGCGUGGCAAGAGCCUAUAGCAAGGUUGAUGCAGUGGAAAGAAUAUUGGGACCAAGUUUUGGUGUCUAGUUUCUGUACUCUGUAUGAAUCCUGAGGGUCACUCUGUGCAUGGCCGUUUCAUACCAGUGGGACAGUGUUUUGGCUCAGGAAUCCAGGGACCUGCCUUGGAACGUUCUGCAUCCAAAUGAAUGCAGUUUGCUCCAAAUGGUGUUCUGGCCAGAGAUGGGCAAAGAAGCCCUGUGCUCCAGGUGUCGGGGCAGCGUUUAGGAGCACAAGCAUUUCGGAUUCUACAGGCAUGCACACUGUUUUGAAAUCAACUGAGUGCAGUAGGCAAGAGAAACAAAAAUAUGUCCUUGAUAUCAGUUGGGUGGGUAAAAUGAUUCAUGGUUUUACUUGCAGUUUUCAUUACAAGUAAUAUUUUAGAUAGAGAAAUUAUUAAUUAAAAAAAAAUCCCAAUGCAUGAGCAACAUUGCUUAAGCCUAAGAGAGAGCGAGGUGGUGGAGAUAGAUGUGUUACACUAGAACCAUCUAGGUUUUCCCAUUCUUCUUGGCCACAUCUUUUUGUCCUACAAAUCUCCUAAUUGCCACGAUGGAAUGAAGGAUAUCCACCCACCUCCAUCUCUCCGUCUCUUUUCAUAUUUACCUACCUUGUCCCAGCCCUAUAAAUGCUGACCCCGAAAUGUGCAUUUGUGCCAUCGACCCAUGAUUGUGAGCUCUGAACCAAGCCCGGCCCCUUGUUUCUGAGCCGUGCGGUCUUGGUGUUGCAUCUUCACUUUUCUUGCGCUGGUUUGGCUGUCUCAGAGGAGAACAAGCAGUUGGAGGGGCUUCCUAUGGCCACGUGGUGCUUCCACAGAUUUUUAGAUGACUUUUGAAGAGUGCACCAAUGCAACCUCUCUGCCUGCUUACUUUCCUACUUUCCUCUAAGCCUUCACCUCCAUUCACGGGGAUGCAUUUUCUCAGCCUCCCUUUGGUUUCCCCUUUCAUUUCUUUUCUUCCUGGCAAUCUGGGAGCAGGAGUUGCUGUUGUAGCAAAAUGCAUUUCAUUUUCAUUUUUACUGCUUCUGUCUUAAUAGCAAGGGCUGCCUUCCUCUGCCUGAGAAUCGCAUUAUCUCGCAUGUGGGCUAAUGAAAAGCGCAGUCUGAGGCUUCAGCUCAAACCAGCCUUGCAGAAGGAGAACAUUGACGGGGCUGAUUUUCGAUAGAUAAUUUACAAGACUUCCACUGCUUAUUGAUUAACUUUCAUAACUCACUGCAGAAAAUAAAUUAUGUAUCCGUGGUCAUCACAUCAGAUAUGCACCCACUGCCCUGGGAGGGUUGAUGACCCUUUGGAAAGAACACGUAGGCAAGUCGGCCUCCUCUGUAGACAAACCAUGGCAAAGCAAAGGGGUGGCAGUGAUGCUGAGAGGGGCAGGUGACAUUGGCCUCAGAACAAUUAACUUGCAAAUUAUUUGAUUAAAAUAAGGACAAUUAUUUAAUUAUAGCUCAUACGCCUUUCCAAGGAAAACUAAGAGCUCUCGUAAGUACUUUUGUAGAGGAAGAAAAUAGCCAUGGGUGGCGGGUGGCACAGUGAUGUCAACAUGACAGAGCCCAGAAGGUAGCAGAGAUAGGGCAAGUUAUGUGUGCCUGAUUGAUGAACCUGUCUGGCAAGAGGUGACUAGCUUUGUAAGAAGAAGACAUGAGACAACUAUGCCCUUGAUUCCCAAAGCUAGAAUUUCAGAUCCGUAAAGCAAAACCAUGUUCCUUUUAAUAGAAACCUAGAUUCAUUACGUUUUGGGGAUGGGAGGUCUAUGGUUGGUUGAGCUCUUUGCUGCCUUCACCUUCCUUCAACUUCACUUCCCCUGGGAAUCGCCAGGUACACUACAGCCAUCUCAGGGAGCACAGAGAAAUGUGUUUUAGUUGCACUCACAAGCUUUGGGUCCAAUUCCAAGUCAUCCGUGUGCAUGCCUUGUGACCUUUGGCAAGUCUCAGAACCUCUCUGGUCCUAGCCUUGGUUCCCGGUCCUGACCUCUUAAAAUGGUUGUGAGAAAGAAAUGCAUUAGCAUAUGUGAAAUGCUUAUCGUGUGGUGAGCACUCGUUAUAUGCCACCUCAUGGUGUGCGUGUGUGUGUGUGUGAUAGUAGGGAAAAUAAUUACCCUUUAUAACAUAACUAAAUACUGCUACGCCCCAUGGAACUUGAUACCUAAUGUUUCUAAGUCUCGAAAACCCAUAUUACCCAUCCUAACUACAGCCUUCCUGGUAUCAGAAAGCCCAGGAAGGCAAGACAUUGCCUGGGGAGCAAGCCCAGGCCAUUGACCCGGGGAACUGACUUGUUCUGAAGGGCUUUCCUAUGGGACCCAGUAAGGUGGAGGGACAAGCCCUCCCCACGGCCCGGCGUUCGGGAAGCUGCGCCCUGAGGAUCCGCCGUAAAUCUUCUGGAUGAUGCUGUGGAUAUACGCUGCCAACGUCCCACAGCCCGGGCUCCCUUUUUUCUCCUACCUACGUUGGCCAAGUCCCUUAUUUUCGCCGUCCCCUUUCUUCAGAUGGUGCCAUUAAUUAGGCUUCUACAUUCCAGCCUCGCCUCCCAGAGAUUCCCCGGGUCACCUUGAAGUCUCUGAGUAUAUAUUUACAGUCUCUUAAUUUAUCCUCGUCCUUGGAGAGUCACAUCCACUGGGUAUGAAUUUCUCUUCUCUCAUUCCAAGGGCAGCGUAAGUUCCCAGCCUCCGGGUGCCAUUGUUAUUAGAAAGAAUGAGCCUCGCAAGGAACCCAGAUGUUUGCAGACUAUCCACCUGUGAGGGGGUGGGGUCACGGGAGAGGGGACUUCUGGGCCACUGUUGAAGAAGCUCACACACCCAGGGAUGGAGAGAGCCUGCCUUCCCCCCCUCCCCCCCGCCCCGGUGGCCCUCUUUCCAGGGCUCCUAACCUGCGUAGGAACCUACACAGUAAGGCCAGUUGGGUUUUGUGCAGGUUCUGGGAUCCAAAGACCUGUUUGUGUCAUUGCACAUUUUACAGCAGCUCUGUCUCACCCGAAUGGCAGGGGAGCUUCUAGGUGGCACUUAGAGGAGGCCUAAAUUGACUUAGAAAGCUUUGCAUUAAGCAGAUGUUUGCUCUUAGGGAAGAUUAAAACCAUUUUGCAUCAAAGAAUGAGGCUGUGGCACUUCCCCGAAGCUUGAAAGAAUGGUUUCUUAUGCUUAACUGAGACUCGCCCCAUCCCUUGCUUGACAUCCCCCCUAGUCCUUGAAAUGGAGUAAAUCCAGACCAGGUGAGUCCGAGGGAGGCAGGUGGCAGAGAUGAGAAUAUUCCCUUUGUAGCUGCUCCUGGGCCUGUUUCUGCUUAUAAGGAUAACUAAAAUAACCAGAGCGCGUGGAAACCACCUUCACACACCAAACAGAGGUGGGAGACAGGAGAGAAGGACACUGGAAUUUAGUCACGCCAUGUUUUGUCCCAACAAAGCGUGAGAAUACGAAGAAACUCAAGACGUGCUCAUGAGAGUGGCAGAGAACACAUACAGAGUGUGCAUGGAAGGGAAAUUGUGUGUAUGUUUGAGUGUGUACAGUUGUUAGCGUUCCCUGGCACGGGAAGUGGCUUAUCUGUGGGGCAGAAAACAGCAUGUGUUUUUUAUAACGUGUCAGUCCAGGGCCCGGAGUUGGGGGGGAUGGGUGGCAGAUACAAGCUGGAGUGAAUUCCCCACUCAGCUACACACUGGUGUGUUUGACCUUGGACAGGUCCUCCCCUCCCGACCUUAGUUUCCUAAUCCAUGGGGAGUGUUUCCUGAGGCUCAAGCAAGAUGCCUUGCAAAUCACCCCAGCGAGGGGCCUGGCAGGUAGUCACGGUCAGUGGGACGUGUGGCCCCUGGUGGUUCCGGCCGCUGCCAUUGCUGUGGUCACCGUCGCUGUUUUUAUUACGAGACACUUUGUCAGAGACAGAGGAGAUCGUGGUCAGCCUCGGCUCCGACGUCGUGGAGCCUGGACUUCUUGUCUAUUGUGGUGCUGGGAGGGAAACCUUGAAGAAAAUAUAUCAAGCCGUUGAGAAAUCCCGCCUGCAGUCUAACCAACCCCCUAGGCCUUACACCGGUCGCAGGCGGAUGUGACGCGGCAAUGUCUUCGGUCCAACGGGGUAAAACAAAUCCAAUUCCGUGCUGCUACCGAGAGCAGCCUAUGAAGCAGCAGGUGCGUGGGACUCAGAGCGGUGUCUGGCCCAGACUAAAACCUCCCCACGAGGUCACCCCUGGAGCUAGUCAAAAUAAAUAAAUAAAUAAAUAAAGACAGAUCUUUUGGGCCUCUCAGCCUGGCAAAAUGCCUGGCAUAAAAUGGGUCGCAUGGCUUUUAAGGCAGUGUGCCGAGCAGCUGGAGAAAGGUCACCAUGAGUUCACAGAACCCUUUAAACACCCUGGGACUAGAAGCCAUCAGAUCCCUUUUGCUGGCACCAUUUAAGUUGUUUUGUUGGAGGACAAAACCUUUUUGCUUAAGGCUAAGUACGUUUUAUGGAGCAUUUAAUGACCCUUUCAUUGGGUAGCUGUGUUUUGGUUUCAGGGGCCGAAGUAAGUGCCCCGUGGCCCCCCGUCCUUCUUGUUAUUCAUUAUCUGUGCAGAGGCGGAGGGACAGGCCAGUUAGCACAUGUAGGCUUCUGGGUUUCAUUGUUGACACUUCAGCAGAAGUGGGAGGAGACAUAUGGCCUACCCCGGUAUCUCGUGGUGAGGAAAAGAGGACAUCUGAGGGGAAAUAUUUUUGAGCAGGAAGACAGAGCAAGAUCAUAUUUGUAGGUGUGAUGGAAAAGUAGAGCAGCCAGUGGGCUGCGGGACUCCCAAGUCCCGUUAAAGCCCACAUCUUUUCAAAGCAUUUUUUUUUAAAGAUUAGAAAUCCAUCCCUCACUGUCCGUUGGUGAUUGCAGGGUUCAGGAGUCUGCAGCAUCUCAGCUCACGUCCGGUGAGCUGUUGUCUGUCACAUCAGCGCCUCAGGACAAGCCAGGGUAGCAGCUUCCCUCGUCUUCUAAGCACCUGGCUGCCAGGAAAGAAUGGGCCUUCUUCCAUGUGAGAUCUGUUUGUCUUGCAUUUACUAUGGAGAGAGGGCUUUGGAAUUAAAUGUAGGUUAUUGAAUUUGACCUUUACAAUAGAAAAAAAUUAGACUGCAUUAGGGUACUAAUUCAUAGAUCUUGAGAUUCUAGCAUUUUUCACAUUUAACAUUUCAUUUGGCCAUUUUUAGCAACAUCAAGUUGGGUUCGUGGGUUUCAAGUACUAGACAUCUGCCCUAUCUUUGGCAUGGGAGAGCGUUUAUUAAUAUUAGGAGGAUAUUGAGUAGCUAACACGAUAUCAAGAAGUCUGGAGAGAAAGAAGAAGUCUUGGAGCCCUAGCAAAUACCAGAAGAGAAAUUAUUCAACCACUGGAGGCUUGCUCUAGAAUGAAUAUCCUUUCUUCUAUCUAAAUGACCCUCCAGCUACUUUUUCUGUCAUUGCAUCUCUCUGGUUGAAAUUCAGGGUCCCAGGGCAAGGAAUACUUGCUGGUUGUGUUCUUGCUCUAGGAGAAUCUGUUGCAGGCAGUCACAAGAAACCUUCAGGGCUUCCACAGUGAGGGCACCAUGCUUGUUUUUCUGCUCACAUGGAGGAAGAGGCAAUUUCUGUGAAAGGAGAUCAAGUUGCUGUUAGGAAGGUGCAGCAGAUGUACCCGGAUGUGUCUAUUAGAAGUCGAGUCCUCUGACUGUUAAUGUACUAGACCCACAGUGAUCAGAAUGACUCCAGUGGGGGAAUGUAUUUAUCUAUCUGUCCAUCCAUCCCAAUGCGAUACAUGUACAGCCUCAUGAUGGAUUAUGUUUCAAGACCAGUGUCAUGAGCAUGAGGGACCUUUUUUCCUCCUUGUAACCAUAAACAUCUUUGUGAGAUAUAAAUGUCACCAGAAACCAGAGAAACAGAUGAUACACUCCACAGGGUAAUAAAUAUGUGAAGGACCUUGCCAGAUACUUUGUAGCAAGGAAGAAUUUAGAGUAUAUCCAAGACUGAGAACCUAAAUCAGAACUUAGCUUUUUCUAUAGUCUCAAUUCAUGCACCAAACUAUAGCCAUAGCCACGGCAGGGCAAAAGAACCUUGUUGGUUAUUAAUGUUGAAUUGCUGCAUUAAAAUUAUUUUAGUGUAGUGAUUCUCAAGUGGGAGUGAUUUUUUUCCCCAUAGGGAACAUUGGUAAAUGUGUUUUUGUCAUUUAUGUUGGGGUUGGGGGGGAUUCUACUGACAUCUAGUGGGUGGGUAGAGGCCAGGGAUGCUGCUAAACAUCCUACAAUGCACAGGACAACCUCCCACAACAAAGAAUUAGAGCACCCAAAAUAUCUAGAGUGCAGAGAUUGGGAAAUUCUGUUUUAGUGUAAGAGAGAUAAACAGCACUCACAUCAACAUAUGCAGUGAUGACUCAAUUCCGGAGGAUACAAGCAUAUCUCGUGUGAUUGUAGCCAGGGUAGUUGGGACUCAGGGAAAAUCUUAGAACCGUAAAACUCCCCUUCCACGACUUCUUUCUUUGCGUCACUUCCACAGACUAGGUUCCUAAACGUAGUGGGGAAUACGGCUGCUAAUAACCACCGAGCCUCUUCAUUUUGAGAUCAGCGAGGAUGCUUGAGUCUUUUCUCUGGUUCUGGGUCAGAGACUCCCAGGGAAGGUUUUGAUUGGCAUGGCAGAGACCCGGUGCUCACCAUCGAACCGGCCGGCUGUGGCCCGAGCCCAUGGCUGGGUGGCGUGGCACAGACGUGGCCGGUCCUUCCCUAAGCAUGUGUCUCUAGGCCUUUCCCAGGGAGAGCGGGGUCACUCUGAGCCAGGCUGCCACCCCCACUGGUGUCUGCUUCAAUCGUGUGUUCUCUCAUUGCCAGGACAUUUGUAAAUCCAAUGUUGUUUCCAGCAGAGCUGUGUCAGAGAAUGUCACUUAGACAUUGCCAGAUUGUUGAGCACCUUGGCUGAAAAUCACAAAGGCACGGGCACCUGGAGAGGAAACGAAGACUGUGCGUGUUUCCAGGGAAGCUGGGCUCUGACAUUUAUGCCUGAACCGUGUUGGGCCCUGAAAAAUCAUCUGGCCCAGCCUUCUGCCUCCAGACUUGUGAAUUUAUAAACCCUCCAGGACAGACAGGCUGUCGAGGCACAACCUGAGAUGAUUUCUGCUGUCCCCUCCCUGGUCCGACCACGGAGGCUGCCUUAGGCGGCUUGUGUCCUAUUUGAUAUAUUUGUUGCGGUGUAUUUGAGACUCUGGUCAGUUUCUCCGAUGAUAUUGAUAAUUUUCUUUUUUAUUUUUUUUCUUUCCACUUAGAUGAAAUUUGUCAAGCUUGCAUUGUGCUAAGCCCUAUUAAAAUGGUGCCAGAGACCCAAUUAUGGCAGCUACAAAGGCAUUCAAGAGUAAGCACAGACAAACACAUAAAGGGCUUAAAGAUCAAAAAUGGUAUUCUAGUGAAAGUACAUUAGGAGACAUCAGGCAGAGAAACAUGAAAGAAUUAGAAUAUGAAGAACAAAGCACAUAGAGCUUUUUGGAUGUCCUUAUUUCUCAUCCCCCCAAAUCAUUUAAUUUCGAGCAUGUUUACUCUUUUAAAAAUGAAUUGAAAUGAUCGAUUGUACUUUUGUCAGGUGGACGUGUUUUUAGAGUCUGGUGUGAAAUGAAUUGCAGAUGGGCUUUCUGGCUUGAUCCCUGUUUUGUGUUUUUUCGGUCCUAGACAAUAUGGUAUCAGUGAAUCAGGACAGCCUACUGGCGGGUGAUUAGUGAGUGUGCCGGGCUGGGUGGCGUUGGCAGCUGUGCCCUGGGGAGAGACUGAGGGCCCUGGCCCCCACUUUACUGUUUGCAUAGACGAGGCCAUAAAUCAAAAAAGUGUACAUUUGGGAUUUGCCGUUUUCAGAUAAGGAGUUAUGUUCAGUUUGUAGCGAUCACCGCGUUGGCCCCUGAAGAAGUCUUGUCACCAGCAGAGCUGCACAGAACCAGGUGCGCACCUGUCAUUUCUGCGAGUCUCUCUCCGGUCUCUCUCCCUUCCAUGGAUUCCCUUACAGAUCUUCAUCUCUGUUCAACUGUUUGAUUCGCCCUCAGUCGCUUGCAAGGGAAAUGUUCAUGUGGCCUCCUCCAAAAGAAGAGAGACCCUUCCUCUGCUUAGUGCAUCAUGAAGUGUCUUUUCCCAGGUUUCUGUUGUAGAUUUAAUAGAAGGAUGGAAAUCUACUCUGCUUGCAGUGUUCUCUAACUCCAGGCUCAGCAGCCCACAUAAUUCCAUACACACAUCAGUCAGUACGAUGGGAAUUGUGAUGAAAUAGAGAACAAAUGUCCCAUCCCAUAUGUUCCAUCGAAAGGAGGCAGCUUCUCCUUAGCUGUCAUUUUUUUCUCAUGCAGUGGUACAGGCUCUGCAUAACCAGAUUUUUCUGAUAUUUCAAAAGAAGCCAAAUAAAAAUCCAGAUUGUUAUGAGCAUAUUCACUAUGAUGAUACAUAUAUAUGCAUAUAUAUGUGCACACAUACACACAUCCAUAUCACAUAUGACCAGAUACAUCAUUAGCCCAAGGGUCGCCAAUGUAUAAUCUCUACUCUGAGGAGGGAAGAAAGGCUGUAAAUGUUUCACAAGCUAGUGUUGGAUAUUCCAUCCAUUUGGGUUUUUUUUUUUCUUCCAUUUAUCUUGAGAAGACCCAUUUUUGGAGAGCUUAUGCAGUGCCAGGAAACAAGCAUCAUUCAUCAAGAGUCUUUAUGUGCUUAAAAAGGUUUCAUGAAGGUGUCAAAACACCAUUAUUUUUAAGUCACUUUUUAAAAUAAAUGGGGCCUAGGUGCUUCCACAGUUUAGGGAAUCGAUGGUGAGAAGAGACAGCUGGACAGUUAUCCUUACGUUUAGCCGGGAAAGCCAGCACAUCCUCACGACGGGGGUAGGCUUCACUGGUCCCUGAUGGAACGAGAAGGGUCUUUCCCUUUCUUCUUUCCAACACGAAGAACGUGCAGCUGAGGAGGAGGUGCCAGGUGACCCUCCUGGCUCAGGCAGGGUGGCGAUGAAGAAGAAUGUGGCAUGGUGGCGGUGGGAGUUAUAAUGAAGGAGGAAGACAAAGAAGGAUGGAUGAAGGAGGUCUUCACAACUCAAGCAUGGGCUGGGGGAUCCCAUCCAGCCAAGCCCAUGGUCUGCGUAGGAAAGCAGGUGGAUGCUAUGCCGCGCCAUGCACCCCCAGCCCCAGAGCAAAAAGCAAAGAUUUCCAGAUGAGCAGAAACCACGACGUCCCCGCAGCUCUGAGGGGCUGACCAGGCCUUCCCGAGGAAGCCCGAAGUCCCCUUCUCACGCGUCUCAUCCAGCUUUUCUGCACGGUGGAGGCCCGAGCGAGAAGCAGAGGCCGACAGAUGGUGUCCCGCAGACUCCCCCUCCAGCCCUUUCAUCUCUCCUCUCGCUAUUAAUUCAUCUGUUUGGAUGGAUACGUUCACGCAUGGAACCAAGAUGAAUAAUAAUGAGGUUUUUAAUAACUCCCUGCAUUUGCAUUCCUAGUUACUCUUUACAUGGUUCUAGCUGAUUAAAAUGAAUCAUUUACAUAAUUAACAUAUGGUUAUAGUGUUGGCUUUAAUAUGCUGAUUAUCUCAAUACUUUUGUCUGGAGUCAAUUGGAUUCUAACUGUAACAAUUGUUUGAAGUGAGACUAGUUUAUUCCUGGGAGGAUGGAGGGCUAUUUGCCAUGGUGCCUGAUUAGCAAUAACACACCUCUCCGAGUUUGUGGUGUUUUCUGUUUUGCAGUGAGAUUGAAAAACAUAAGUAAAUAAUAGGAAUAAUUGCAAUUAUCAUAGUAGCUCCUAUUUCUUCUGUGACAAGUGCUUUCACUUCCGUGAUCUCAAAUUCUUGCAGCUCACUUGCAAAGUAGGAAGUAUUAUGCCCACUUUACAGAGGCAGAAACUGAGGCUCGGAAACACUGAGAGAGGCUGGCUUGAAGCCACCGCGCUGUCACGUGUCAGAGCCACGAGCGAGGCUUUCUCAUCCAGAAUCCGUACUUUCUAAUUACUCUGCGUCAGUUUCUCAACCUGGACACUAUUGACAUUUUCCAGCCACGGCGCUAUUGACUAUUGCCAGACAAUUCUUUGUUGUUGGGGGGGCUUCCCUGUGUGUUAUAGGUCAUUCAGCAGCUUCCCUGGCCUCUACCCACCAGACCCCUGUGGCACCCCCUUCCCUAUCUAUGACAACCAAAAUAUGCCCAAACAUUGCCAGUGUCCCUUGGGCAGCAGAGAGGAGCAAAAUUGCCCCUGGUUGACAACUACUGCCCAAAGUUACCUUCUUUCUGUAUAGGACGACAAAAUACUAGCAAGCAACCGUGUUGUCUAGGCUGGUCUACUGGCGAUGAGCAGCUAGUUGUAUUGACAUCUAACUGCGGUCAUGCUGUUGGGAGGCGGAUUGUGCUGUGUGUGGUUCCGCAGCCCUGAUUCUGAGUGGUCUGAUGAUAUCUACCAGGAAUCACUGUAUGUUUCGAAAGCAGUUUUGUUUUUAUCAUCUCCAAUAAGUUCUCUCUCUCUCUUUCUGUCUCUGUCUCCCCCCCUCACUCCCCCUUUACCUUCUCUAAAGGGCAGGUGUGCCCCUUUGCAGAGUUCAUAGUGUGCGUUUCGGGAUGCCGUUUUCGCGUUAGCAGGCCCUGGGCAUGGGCGCCAUCAGCUGCGAUCUGAUCAUCUUGCGAGUUCACGUGGAAUUUGGAAGGAACUUGUGAAAGAGUGGCCAAUUUUCCUAUUUAGGUACUGGAGGUUUUGGAGUGUGGAUGCUUUCUGAAUAUGCAUGCAUAUUAGAAAUGCAUUUUUUUUUUUUUUUGCUAAUGGCCGGACUGUUGUCCACAAUUAGUCUGUGGUAGGCAUGAUUAAUUGCAAAGAACAGUGACAUUUAUGCAGAAAAAUGCUUGGGGUCAAAAAGAAAUGGAGAGAAGUGGUGACUGCAGCCUGGUGAGUGGAAUACUAACGCAGGUGACCCAGAAGCAAACCCCCGACAGGGGUCUCUCCACAUCAGCGGGACGACAGGGGUCUCUCUGCAUCAGCAGGACAUGGGUGUCUCACUUGGGUAGAUGUCUCUGCAUUUCCGACAUGCCUGCAUUUUAUUCUCCUCUCCUUCGAAAACCUUUAGUUUUGUGCAGGUUUUCGGAAGCCCUUCUGAUGUUUUGGUAAACGCUGAGGCCUGCCUUGUGUCCCCUCCGUCCGCCCCUCCCCCUCCCGAUCUCGCACUGUCACUUGAAUCCCAGGAUUUAUUCUCUCGCGUGACAUCCGUGUGCUAUGUGUCUACCGUGAAGAAUCAGGGAGCAAGCAAAGGUGGCGCAGUCUCACCACCCAGAGCAACCGGUAAACAUGUUUCUGUGUUUGUUUAGGUUAAAGUGAUACAUGUCCAUGAUGAAUAAUUCAAAUGGCACUUAUACCAGCGAAGGAAAAGGAAAAAUAAAGCCCAUCUCUGAAUUUAAUUUCUCACUGAAGCUAAUUACAAGCAGUGGCCAUUCAGGGCAGGGAGAAAGCACUGACAUGUACGUAUGCUCACAUGUAUGAUACAUGUAUGUGUGCACAGGUGUAUUUUGUUUACACACACACACACACACACACAAACACACCCCAGAAUAUAUACCCUCUGUUUAUUUUAUCUUGCUUAUUUUACUUAAUAAUACGUCAUGGAGCCCUUUUCAUUUUUCCUACACUAGGUAGUUGUGACAUACCUUAUUUAAUCAGUUCCCUUUGUGGACUCUUUAAUUUUUUUCUGUUAUAAAUAUUAAUACCACACACACAUAUAUACAGAGUUAUCUGAUAGAGAUACACAAAUCAGAUCCUAUGGACCUUGGUUAAUUUUAACGGGCAUGUUAAUUUCCUAGCAGUGUGGUUGCAGGGUCAAAACCCACGGGUGUCUCAUAACUUAUUUUUUGAAAGAUGUGACUCAGAACUUACCUCCUGCAGUACACAGUGCUGUUCAGUUCACAUCAGCGUCUCCCCACUGGCAUCCUAUCUGGGCCUCGGAGCUGGGGUUCACGAGAGGAUGAGUACCCCCCUACGGUUCGAACCCCAUGAUGGAGGGGUCGUCUAGACACCAACAAACUCAGGAGGAUGCAGCGUUCACUCUCCUUAGGAAAACCAGGUCCCUAGCCUGUGUCAGACAUCUGAUAUUGCCUUUGGGGUCCUAUUUUGCUUAACGUUUUCCUCAUGCCUCUUUAUUUGUUUUGCUGCCCAAGUUAGAGUUUAAGUACCUUCAGGGCAGGAACCAAGUAUAGAAAGAGAAUUUGCAUCUUGUGCCCACACUGAUUGGCUAGCAGUGGCUAUGAGGAGCUUUGUUUGGAGAAGGACGAAGUCUGACUCAGGAAGGAGGAGAUUCCCAAUCGAUUAGCAAUGUCUGCUGUGGGCGCAGAAUGGUGGAGGGGUAACCUGCACGUCAGGUGUUCUUUUUCCAUUCUUCCAUAAUAUAUUAGUGUUAUUACUAUUAUUUUGGCUAUUUGGGGUUUACAGAGAAAUUUUAUGUCAACAUAUAACAGGGAAAAGGAGAAGAAAAAGAUUGAGGGAGGGAAAGAAGAAGGGAAAAAGAAGAGAAAAGAAAGAGAGCAAUGGGAGAGAAAGAUAUACUCAGAAAUACUCAGAAGCAUCCUGCUUCUAGGUUGCUUUUUAUUUGAGCUUUUAUGUGUUUUUGAAAUUUACUGCAGGGAACAUGUGUUACAUAUGGAAUUAGAAAAACAAAAAGACCCCAAUGAGUUUUAUGUUAAAAUAAAGACAGUCUUGAAGCAAAGCUGCCAGUGGUAUUAAGAGGCACGGUGACCAUGGGCUGGGAGAUGGAGGGCGGCCCUGCAUUGUUCUACAUUUUCUUGGUUUUGCGAGACCACUAAGUGAUGUGCAUCCUCUCCCGGCAGAAUGGAUGGUGUUAAUCUUCAGUCCCUUUGUAAUAAAUGCCGGACUGCGAACAGGAGAUGGCCAGGAGAGAGUGCCCGGGCAAACCUUAAUCUUUAAUAAGGUACACGGCUAGUCCAUAACUGUCAGGGUUGACGGAGGAA